CCCUUCUCUUCGGCCGACCUCUACAAUUGGAAAUCUAACCAUGCCCCUUUUUCAGAAAAUCCCUCAAGCCUUACAGGUCUGAUGGAGUCCCUCAUGUUCUCUCACCAGCCUACUUGGGAUGAUUGUCAACAGCUUUUGCAGGUUCUUUUCACCACUGAGGAAAGAGAGAGAAUACUUUUGGAGGCGUGGAAGAAUGUGCCUGGAAUCAAUGGUCAACCAACUCAACUUCAGAAUGCUUCCAAGAGUCAGCAAGCGGCAGUUGCUAUGGCUUUUACUGGACAGUCUGCCUCUGAUAUUAGGAGAAGGUUACAGUGCCUGGAAGGUCUGCAAACAUUAUCUUUGCAAGACCUAGUUAAGGAAGCAGAGAAAGUGUGACAUAAGAGAGAGACUGAGGAAGAAAGAAAAGAAAGAGAAAAGAAGGAAGCUGAGGAGACACAGGAUAGACGAGAUAGAAGGCAAGAAAGAAACUUAACUAGGAUUUUGGCCACAAUAGUAGGCAACAGGGAAGCUCAUAGGAAGGAAGAAGGAACUAGGCAGACAGGGUACCUGGGUAAUGAAGGGCCAAGGAGACCUCGGAACCCUGAAGGAACCCCUCGGCAGCCUUUAGAUAAGGAUCAAUGUGCUUAUUGUAAGGAAAAGGGAAAUUGGGCAAGGGACUGCCCCAAGAAGAAACACAAGACACCCAAGGUCCUCACCUUAGAGGAAGAUGAUUAGGGGAGACGGGGCUCGGGCCCCCUCCCCAAGCCUAGGGUAAUCCUAACUGUGGAGGGGACCCCUAUGGACUUCCUUGUUGAUACCAGAGCAGAAUUUUCAGUUUUAAAGAAACCAUUGGGAAAAUUAAAAGAUAAAAAACCAUAGUAAUUGGGGCCACUGGCCAGAUACCAUAUUCUUGGACCACCAACAGGAAGGUUGAUCUGGGAAAAGGUCAAGUAACUCACUCCUUUCUCAUCAUCCCUGAGAGCCCCAUGCCACUAUUGGGGAGAGAUUUGCUGUCUAAGCUAAAAGCCCAAAGAAACUUUUCCUCAGAAGGAACCAUAGUCAGUUGGCAGACUCCCACUUCUAUGAUCUUGGCCUUAAAACUGGAGGAAGAAUAUAGAUUAAUGAGCCCCUGGCCCCACCAGACAAGACACUGGGGAGAACAUGGCUAGAGAGGUUCCCCAGAGCAUGGGCAGAGACGGGGGGCAUGGGAGAGGCCAAACGGGUGCCCCCCAUCGUCGUAAGCCUAAAGACUGAUGCAACCCCCAUUGGGGUACGACAAUACCCUAUGAACAAGGAAGCCCGAGAGGGUAUCAGACCUCACAUCCAAAGACUCCUGCAACUAGGUAUUCUGGUUCCUUAACAGUUUCCCUGGAACACUCCGUUGCUGCCAGUUAGGAAGCCAGGCACCAAUGAUUACUGGCCAGUCCAAGAUCUAAGAGAAGUUAACAAAAGGGUGCAAGAAUCCACCCUACUGUCCCUAACCCUUACAACCUGCUCAGUUCUCUCCCUCCUGACAGACAAUGGUACACGGUUCUGGACUUGAAAGACAUGUUCUUUUGCCUGAGACUACAUCCUACAAGCCAGGCGAUCUUUGCUUUUGAAUGGAGAGACCCAGAUCGGGGACAGGCUGGACAGCUGACUUGGACACGUCUGCCUCAGGGAUUCAAAAACUCCCCCACUCUCUUCGACGAAGGCCUCCAUCGAGAUUUGGCUCCGUUCAGGUCAACAGACUGUAGUGGUAGCCCCACACGCCCUGGAAAGCAUCAUCAGACAACCGCCUGACCGCUGGAUGAGCAACACCCACAUGGCUCACUAUCAGAGCCUCUUGUUAACUGAGAGAGUGCUGCUUGCACCCCCGGCUAUCCUAAACCCCGCCUCCUUGCUGCCAGAGACAGACUACUCAUUACCGGUACACCAAUGUAUGGACAUCCUGGCAGAAGAAACCGGAACCAGGAAAGACCUCACUGAUCAGCCAUGGCCAGGGUGCCCUAAUUGGUACACGGAUGGUAGCAGCUUCAUGGUUGAACGUAAGCGGAGAGCUGGGGCUGCGGUAGUAGACAGAAGCGGACCAUCUGGGCCAGCAGCUUACCUGAGAGAACGUCAGUCCAAAAAGCUGAGCUGAUCGCACUCACACAAGCCUCGCGGCUGGCAGAAGGAAAGGCUAUCAACAUCUACACGGACAGCAGCUCAUUUAAAGGCUCUUGAACUGGUCAGAAAGGGUGCCUGGGAACAGCUUAAAGGAGCAUACGAACCGGGAACCACAGCUGUACCACAUAAGUUCCAAGUGGGAGACUCUGUCCUGGUCCGGCGUCAUCGAUCCGGCAAUCUCGAACCCAGAUGGAAGGGACCCUACCUGGUGCUCCUGACAAGUCCUACCGCCAUCAAGGUUGAUGGCAUCCCAGGUUGGAUCCAUGCAUCCCACAUCAAAGCGGCCCCUCCUGCAACCCAAGAUGUCUCCUGGAAGCUGGAACGGACUGGUGAUCCUCUUAAGCUGCAUUUAUGUCGCCUGCUCACCACAGAAGAUUAGGUCUUGCUGCUCGUCCUCCUUAUUACAAGGGAACUGCCAUCUCUGGUACCAUCACCUCCGUGACAGAUCCAAAUCAAUGUUCCUGGGGCUCCCAAAAGUAAGCUCACCCUUACUGAAGCCUCAGGCUCAGGAUUAUGCCUAGGAACAGUACCUCUCUCCCACCAACACCUCUGCAACAGCUCAACCAUUAUGGUAACAGAGACCAACCCUUAUCUGUUAUCAAGUAACAAUAGCUGGUGGGUGUGUAGUACUGGGCUUACCCCCUGUGUCUCUACUGUUGUGUUUAACCAGUCAAGAGACUUUUGUGUUAUGGUUCAGCUGGUUCCUCCAUCUACUACCACCCCGAGGAGACAGUCAUAGAUGCCUAUGAUUAUAACCAAAAAAGGGACAAGAGGAAACCGGUAUCCCUCACCUUAGCAGUAAUGUUGGGUUUGAGCAUAGCAGCAGGAAUUGGUACCGGGACUACAGACCUCCAACAUGGCCUGAAUACUCUGCAGGCCGCUAUGACACAGAACGGUCUCUCUUGAAUUAUUGGGGCAUCGGCUUAUCCCGAGACUUGAGUGAGGGUCUCCCCACUCUGGGGGUCUUUCACCAACUACAGAGUUGGUCCUUAUAGUUGCAGGAGACCAGGAUCUGGUGUGAUGUCUGUGGGUCUAGAGUGUUGGGAGCUGAGUUCAUAUGUACCUAAAUAUGGUUCAGGAUGGAUGCUACAUGUCUAGAGAAAUGAAUUCUGUUCAGGGGAAUCUGGGAAGGCUUCUUGGAGGAGUAAACAAUGAAUCAGUGCCUUA